GUCCCAUCUCUCAAAUAUCAUAGUCGGAUUUCCCACCUUCUUAAUACUGUUAAAAUAAAGAUUUCAUUUCAACAUGAGUUUUGGAGGGGACAAACAUUCGAACCAUAGCAGGGACACUGGGGGUCAGUGCACAAAGGGCCACGUGAGGACACAGUGAGAAGGUAGCCAUCUGCAAGCCAGGGAGAGAAGCCACACCAGACACCAAUCCUGAUGGCACCUUACCCUUGGACCUUCCAGCCUCCCAAACUUAGAAUGCAAGAGGAGAGAGAGAAAUUGAAAAAGAAAUUGUCAGGCAGAAAGGAACUUGAAUGUGAAGAUUAAAAAAAAAAUUCACAGCCUAUCCAAUACUGCAAAAUUUGAGAAUGUGCUCUGGUGACAAGACAAAGGGUGUGGCUAGACAAUCAUGCCACAAAGAGAUCAUGGGUGUGACUCACUGACCUAAUCAGCCAUCUCAGCAGAAGCCAGAAAUAGAGAUACCAGCAGAAACACGGCCAGCUGGGACUAAAGAGG
rnacentral:lncRNA from 13 species